UCCUUUAAUGUGACAAUUUCA
rnacentral:piRNA from 1 species